UUUGCAACAACAGCACAACCCCUCUAAUGAUUCCUAUUUCUCUUAGUGAUCACCUGCCUUCCCAUGUUCUAGACUCCAGACUCUGAGGUCAAUUUUGAGCCUCUUUUCUCUUUUGCCCCUAUAUCUAAUGAAUCACCAAGCCCCACCCCUCAGUUCAAAUCUGGCCCUUCCUCUCCAUAUCUAUCCCUAAUAGCCUGAUUUGCAUUGAUUAUUCCCUAACCAAUCUUUCUCGCUCUCGUGUUUUUCUUACUGCCAACCCAUGCCAGACCUGUGGAAAUGUUCAUCUUGGCACCUAGCUGUAAUUACACACUUCACUGGUCCCAAACAAACUUCCACUGACUCACGCUUCUUGCUCAACACAAGGCAAUUCCUCAAAGUAACAUUCAGGUUCCUACACGGUAGGGUUGAGGCUUGGCUCAGACGGUGUGAGGGGGUGGGGAGAGGGCGGCCCUCCGGAUGGCAUGAUAACGCGUCAGCUCAGGGUGGGAGAAAAUGUGAGUCACCUGCUUGUUCUCAGUAAGCAGCAGAGAGUAUAUAAAGAGAAUGGGUAACUCCGUGCUAAAUUGCAAAAAAUACCAAAAGUCACACGGGCAUGAAUAACAUUCAAUCACAAUUUAUCAAGCAUUUUCUAAAGUGCCAGAUCCUAUGGCUGGGUGUUGGGGAUGUGGUGAACGUUUGAAAGGUCUGAGAGAAAACACAGAUUCUAAUCAUGAUGAUGAUGAUCCUACUGGGCUUUAUAGUCUAUGGUGUAUUUUCACAUAUAUUGUUAAUUGGAUCCUUUCAGAAGCCUGUGCAGGAGCUCCCAGAGACAGGCUGAGUCUCUCCCCUUCACCAGAGCUCACCCCUGAGGCUCUGGGAGGACAGAGGACAGUCAAGAUCGCCAAACAAGAAAGUCCCAGCCUGACCUGACCUCCUUUCUCUCUUCACUUCCUGUUUGUAAGCCCUCUUGGACGGAUGCAGAAAUGGAAGCCCAGAGACGUUAACUAACUUGUACAAAGUCACACAGCUACUAAGGGGCAAAGCCAGAAUUCAAGCCAGACUUCAGUCUCCCAUUCCAGGGCUCUUUUUUCACAGCACCCAAGCCACCUAUGGAUCGGCCCUCCCGCCUGAACCUACGCUCUGAAGUAGGUUCAGGCUCUGACGGUGACUCACAUGAGAAGAGGUCUUGGCUCAAGGGCCCUCAGCACAGGAAGUUAAUCGAGCUAUUGAAGUUGGGCCAAGGAAAGGCCCAUAAGCUCAGAGAUCGCCUCGCCAGAGAGAAGCUUUAU